UUGGAGGGCAGUCUGGUGCCAGCAGCCGCGGUAAUUCCAGCUCCAAUAGCGUAUAUUAAAGUUGUUGCAGUUAAAAAGCUCGUAGUUGAAUUUCGGGAUCAAAUUGUCGGUCGUGCCUCGGUACGCACUGGUAUUAUUGGUUCCUACCUUCUGAAGAACCGCGAUGUCAUUAAUUUGGUGUCGUGGGGAAUCAGGACUGUUACUUUGAAAAAAUUAGAGUGUUUAAAGCAGGCUUACGCUUGAAUACAUUAGCAUGGAAUAAUGAAACAGGACGUUUGAUUCUAUUUUGUUGGUUUCUAGGAUUGACGUAAUGAUUAAUAGGGAUAGUUGGGGGCAUUAGUAUUCAAUUGUCAGAGGUGAAAUUCUUGGAUUUAUUGAAGACUAACUACUGCGAAAGCAUUUGCCAAGGAUGUUUUCAUUAAUCAAGAACGAAAGUUAGGGGAUCGAAGACGAUCAGAUACCGUCGUAGUCUUAACCAUAAACUAUGCCGACUAGGGAUCGGAUGAUGUUAAUUUUUUAAUGACUCAUUCGGCGCCUUACGGGAAAC
rnacentral:rRNA from 1 species